UUUAAUUCGAAGCAACGCGAAGAACCUUACCUAAGCUUGACAUCCCAAUGACAUCUCCUUAAUCGGAGAGUUCCCUUCGGGGACAUUGGUGACAGGUGGGGCAUGGUUGUCGUCAGCUCGUGUCGUGGGAUGUUGGGUUAAGUCCCGCAACGAGCGCAACCCUUGUCUUUAGUUGCCAUCAUUAAGUUGGGCACUCUAGAGAGACUGCCAGGGAUAACCUGGAGGAA
rnacentral:rRNA from 1 species